CAAUGAUGUUGAGUUCCUUGUCAUAGUAAGUGAGGGUAUCUGGACCUUUCUGACAAGUCAGGGUGUGGUUGAUUUUAUACGCUCCCAAUUAGCAGCCGGGACAACUAAUCUGCGCACUAUCUGUAGGAGACUUUGUGAUCAUUGUGAGCUAGCUGCCUACAACGUGACCGCCAUACUGGUUCAGUUCAUGGAAGCCCCACCACCCAAACCGGAAGCAAACUUGUCUGGUGACAACGGGAACAGCAACGAGUCUGGUGGCAAUGGAAACAACAAUGGCGCCCCGCCACAAGCACCGGAAGAGAACUUGUCUGGUGGCAACGGCAACAACAGCUACGACGCUCCAGCAGCCGCACUGGAAGAGCAAGAGGAACACGAGGUCUAUGAACAACCUGAAGGCCGUGAAGACCAGCCCCUCCUCACUGACCAUGAGAUAACGGAAGACUGAUGGUCGCGGCAGAGAGUUUUGGAGUCCCUGGGCAAGAGAAGAAAGCUCCUGGGAUUUGCAGGUUCAGCUACAGCGCUGUUUCCCCUUUCUUUUCCCCUCGUCGUCGAAGACAGACAGAGUUGGUGGUGUGAUGCCACUGCUUAGGAUGAUGCCCGUUUUAGUCUCUUGCACUAGUAGUAGUAGUGUAUUCUGCUGCCUGGGUACGUUCCAGUUCCACUGGAUGGAGAUUUUGCCUGAGAACCACUUGAACGCACGCACCUUUGGUGGUUGUGAUAUCUGAAUCCUGGAGAUGCUUAAUCGAGUUUGCAGUUGAUAUCUUUCUCUUUGCGUUUACAAUCGUUUGUGGUGUAUAUGUCAUUUGCUCGUGUCUGAAGU